rnacentral:lncRNA from 1 species
UCUCUGUCCAUUUGUGUUUCAUCAGCCUAUAGCUAUUUAUAAAAGAAAGAGGCUUUUAGGAGAGAGGGUCUCAAAUGAAAACUAACGUCUCGUCUCUCUCUCCUUGCAUAAUUUAUAUAAACUAAAAAAUCUUUGGACUUUGUUACCAAGUCAUUUUAUGAAUCAAUUAUUUCACACUCCAUAAUGAACCUAUUAUGAAUUUUUAUGCUAUGUCUAUAAUAAAAUACAAAAACCGAGGUUUAGAUUUUAAUACAAUUUGAAUUAUCAGUAACCAAAGCAAGAGGAAACUUAAAAAAAGAAAGUCAGAAAUCUUUCAUGAAGUUUUAUAUUAUUCUAAUACAAUUCCUAAAGUUUGAAAAUAAGAACAGCUUUAGUUAUGCAGAAAAAUAACUUUAUUUAUUGUCAUUUCAUAGAGGAGGAAACUAAAGGACCGAGGUUAUAAACCUAGCUCUUCAUAGGGCAAGGUAGUAGACUUCAAUACUUCAGUUAUAAAGCAUAUCCCUGAGCCGAGACAUGUCAGGUGUUGGGGAGGUAUCCAUCUUUGUUGUGAUGGAACAUGCGUCAUCUCUUCCUCAAGCUCUCACUCUAUUUCCUAGUGCAGGUGUCUUACUUAUAUUUUACUUAUUCAUGUUCAUUUUCAAAGAGGUUAUAGAGAAUUGGACAUGCUCAAUAUCGAAAAACAUUUGUGGAAAAUGAGACUAUGCAUUUCUUGUAGUCAGAGAAGAAUAACGUUUAAUCUGUCCACCUGACCUUCCUGAGAUACACUCCUUAUUCUCACAUAAAGCCAAGUGAACAGAAGGAUAAGUAUUAGUUGAUUUGAGAGUAGUAACUGGAUAUUAUAGACCGUGUAGAUCCAUUACAAUGUGAUAGAAGGACCACCAAACCCUUCUUAACUUCCACUAUGACUUCAUGAGAACUUUAUAUGUUAUCUAUUAGGAUAUCUUUGACAUAGAGCUGUGUCCUAUACCUCAACAAUAUAUAAAUGAGAAACAGUAAGAUUUCUAUUUCUUUCUCAUCUAUAUUUUUUAUUUGCUCUGUUCUUAGCCUAGUUUGCCAAAGAGUAGAAGAGAAAACACUUGUGCCUUCAGGUUUAUAUACAUUUAUAUGUUAGACAUAUUCACCAGCCUAUUGCUGACAAUUGAUAAUGUGUUUUCUUCUUGAACUUCCAUAGCAAAAUGCCACUGACUGUGUGGUUUAGGCAACAGAAUUUAAAAUAUAUAUAUAUUCUCACAUUUCAGGAGUUCUGAUAUUCUAGAGAAGGGUAGGAACAUGAUUAAGAGGGGCAUGAGAGACAGAGAGGGACUUAUGUCUUCUUUUUUCUUACACAAUAUAAUUUUCUAUGACUAAAACAUACUAGGUGUCCUUUUUCAUUUUCUUUUUAUAUUUAAUUUUACCUUCUGUGAAUCCAGUGUCCAAGUUGAGUCAUGUUCGAGUUUAAAAGUUCAACGCAUACAUUUCAAGGACACAGUUCUGCCCGUGAUAGUUUAAGAGUUGCCAAGAUUCGUGCCUUGUAACACAUGAUAAGCACUCGCUCCACUGAAGCAGAUGUUAAAAGUGGUAACUUCAUUUCAGAAUCAACCCAAGAGUCAAUCUCAGCUGUAGCAGUGAGAGGUGAAGAGGGAAAGGAUGUGUUUUGAGAAAAACUUUAUCCCCAGCUGUGAGCUUGUAAAACCAGAAGCUUUCAUGCAAGGUUUGGAGAAGUAUAAUUUAGAUAAUCACAUUCUAAAGGAGAGGAAUCAGAAAAUAUCAAGGGAAAAUAUUCCCAAGAAAGUUCAAAAUCCAUCAAGGCAAUUUCAAUUGAUUUUAAAGAUUGAAAGUAAACAGCUCUGCCUGGCUGCUGGGUACUUCAGGCUUAUUAAGAUGGGAGCAUUGUCUUUUAGCUUAGACUUCCUCAUCUCUCAGAAAAGGUCCUAAUUGUUCAGCUCUACAGGGUGCCCAGGCUCACAAUCCUGUCCCCAGCCUGUGAGUUGCUGGCCAAUUUUUCCCUAACUUGCUAACAACCUGGGGGUGGCCUCUUUCUUUGAAUCUUAGAAGGGAGCAAUAUUGCCCUGUAGGAAGAGUAACUGCCAGAAUGGCCUCCAAAUUGUCUGGUCAGUCAGGAUUUUUUUCUAAAGACUAUUCAAAGUCUUGGUAAGAAAGCAUUGUUCCACUCCCUAGUUCCUGAAUUUGGACAGCAGGCCUUCAUUCUGCCCUAUUGUUUGUCUCCCACUUAGUUCCAGCUGGCACUAUCUGCUAGAACAAUUUCAUUUCUAUUUUUGACUGUAGUUAAAAAUGGCUAGUAAACCCUCUUCAUACUCUCUUUCAGAAAGGAAUUAUGGGUAGCAGAGUCGCACCUUUGAUGUUCAAUCCAGAAAAUGGUUUUAGUGUUUUGUUUUGGUUUUUGUUUUGUUUUGCUUUCCCUAUGGGCUAUGGCAGAGCAUUUUUCAAAUCUUCAGAGUAUUUUUUGUUGUUGUUGUUGUUGUGAUUAUUUCACCUGACAAUUCCUUUGAUGUCUUUCACACCCAUCAUAUUUUGCAAAAAGUACUG